GGCUCCGUAGUUCAACUGGAUAGAAUAUCAGAUUUCGGCUCUGAGGGUUGGGGGUUCGAAUCCCUUCGGGGUCA
rnacentral:tRNA from 4 species